rnacentral:rRNA from 1 species
GACGAACGCUGGCGGCGUGCUUAACACAUGCAAGUCGAACGGAAAGGCCCUGCUUUUGUGGGGUGCUCGAGUGGCGAACGGGUGAGUAACACGUGAGUAACCUGCCCUUGACUUUGGGAUAACUUCAUGAAACUGGGGCUAAUACCGGAUAGGAGCUCCUGCUGCAUGGUGGUGGUUGGAAAGUUUCGGCGGUUGGGGAUGGACUCGCGGCUUAUCAGCUUGUUGGUGGGGUAGUGGCUUACCAAGGCUUUGACGGGUAGCCGGCCUGAGAGGGUGACCGGCCACAUUGGGACUGAGAUACGGCCCAGACUCCUACGGGAGGCAGCAGUGGGGAAUAUUGCACAAUGGGCGGAAGCCUGAUGCAGCAACGCCGCGUGCGGGAUGACGGCCUUCGGGUUGUAAACCGCUUUCGCCUGUGACGAAGCGUGAGUGACGGUAAUGGGUAAAGAAGCACCGGCUAACUACGUG